UACGUAGGGGCCUAGCGUUGUCCGGAAUUAUUGGGCGUAAAGAGCUCGUAGGCGGUCUGUUGCGUCUGCCGUGAAAACCCGAGGCUUAACCUCGGGCCUGCGGUGGAUACGGGCAGACUAGAGGUAGGUAGGGGAGAACGGAAUUCCCGGUGUAGCGGUGAAAUGCGCAGAUAUCGGGAGGAACACCGGUGGCGAAGGCGGCUACCUGGACAGAAACUGACGCUGAGGCACGAAAGCUAGGGGAGCAAACAGG
rnacentral:rRNA from 1 species